UUUAUAUAAUGGUGGAAAUAUUCCAAAAUUCAAUAUUUUGGGAUUUAUACCCAAAAGAUAAACAAAUUAGAGGCCAAGAGGCUGCCGGAAGGGAAAAACGGGGCCUGGGAAGGCCGUUGUGAGGAAUGAGCUGGGCCUAAAGAGGCCACUGGGAGGCAGGAGCUGGACCUGCUGAAGCGGCCGAGAGGCAGGAGUUUUGGACUCCGGAGGCCGCAGUGAGGCGAGAGCUAGCUGGGCGUGGAGAGUCCGCUGUGAGGCCGAGGCCGGGCCCGUGCAGGCCUUCGAGAGGCAGGAGGCCGGGCCUGCAAAGGCCCACUGGAGGUCAAGUUCUGGGCCUGAAGAGGCCGCCAAAAGUCAAAAGCGGGGCCUGGGAAGGCCGCCGAGAGCCAUGAGCUGGGCUGGGCCGAAAGAGGCCACUGGGAGGCAGGAGGAGCUGGGCCUGGAGAGGCUGACUCGAGGAAGUUUUGCACCUGGAGAGGCCGCCGAGAGGACGGACUGGGCCUGGAGAGGCUGACUCGAGGAACUUUUGCACCCGGAAAGGCCGCCGAGAGGCCGUUGCUGGGCCUGGGGAGGCCAACUUGAGGACGACUUGGGCCUGCAGAGGCCGCCGGGAGGCAGGAGCUGGCCCUGGACAGGCCGACUUGACGACAGUCUGGGCCUGCAGAGGCCGCCGAGAGGAAGAGCUGGGCCUGGAGAGGCCGACUGGAGGAAGUCCAGGGCCUGGAGAGGAUGCAAAGCAGCAAACGCUAGGCCUGGAAAGGCUGCCCUGAGGCACGGGCUUGGCCAGCAGAGGCCACUGGGAGGCAGGAGCUGGGCCCACAGAGGCUCCCGAGAGGGAGGAGCAUUGCCCCAGGAGGCCACGGUGAGGAAGAGGUGGGCCUGGAGAGCCCACUGUGAGGUAGAGGCCGGGCCUGUAGAGGCCGCCGACAGGCAGGGGAUGGGCCCGUUGAGGCCACGAGAGGCAUGAGCUGGGCCUCAACAGGCCAGUGUGAGGCAGGAGCUGACACUUGGGCACGUUGCAAGAGGCAUGAGUUGGGCCGAAAGAGGCCACCGUGAGGGAGGAGCUGGGCCUGUACAAGCUGCCAAAAGGCAGGAGCAGCUUUGGACUGGAGAGGCCGCAGACAGGGAAGAGCUGGGUGUGAAGAGUCUGCUGUGAGGCAGAGGCUGGGCCUGUACAUGCCCUCGGGAAGCAGGAGGCUGGGCCUGGAGAGGCCGACUUGAGAAAGUUUUGCUCCUGGAGAGGCCACUCAGAGGCAAGAGCUGGGUGUGAAGAGGCUGACUUGAGGUCGAUUUUGGCCUGCAGAAGCCACCGGUAGCUAGGAGUUGGCCCUGGAGAGGCUGACCUGAGGACAAUUUUGGCCUGUAGAGGCCACUGGGAGGGAGAGCUUGGUCUGGAGAGGCCAACUGGAGUAAGUUCAGGGCUUGGAGAGGAUGCACAAAAGGAAAUGCUCAGCCUGGAAAGUG
rnacentral:lncRNA from 1 species